AGUCCACAUCGACGGGGAGGUUUGGCACCUCGAUGUCGGCUCAUCACAUCCUGGGGCUGUAGUAGGUCCCAAGGGUUGGGCUGUUCGCCCAUUAAAGUGGUACGCGAGCUGGGUUCAGAACGUCGUGAGACAGUUCGGUCCCUAUCCGUCGCAGGCGUAGGAAAUUUGAGAAGACCUGUCCUUAGUACGAGAGGACCGGGAUGGACGUACCUCUGGUGUACCAGUUGUCCUGCCAAGGGCAUGGCUGGGUAGCUAUGUACGGAAUGGAGAAGCGCUGAAAGCAUCUAAGCGCGAAGCCAACUUCAAGAUAAGAUUUCCCACCGCAAGGGUAAGACCCCAGAAAGACUAUCUGGUUGAAAGCGCUGAAAGAAUCUAAGUGUGAAGCCAAAUUCAAGAUAAGAUGUACCAACGCAAGGGUAAGAACCCAGA
rnacentral:rRNA from 1 species